rnacentral:tRNA from 1 species
GAUUAAAUGGCUGAAGAUAGGCGGUAAAUUGUAAAUUUACUUAUGGGGAUUUAUCCUCUUUGAUCA